rnacentral:rRNA from 1 species
GCUGGCGGCGUGCCUAAUACAUGCAAGUCGAGCGGACCGACGGGAGCUUGCUCCCUUAUGUCAGCGGCGGACGGGUGAGUAACACGUGGGUAACCUGCCUGUAAGACUGGGAUAACUCCGGGAAACCGGGGCUAAUACCGGAUGCUUGAUUGAACCGCAUGGUUCAAUCAUAAAAGGUGGCUUUUAGCUACCACUUGCAGAUGGACCCGCGGCGCAUUAGCUAGUUGGUGAGGUAACGGCUCACCAAGGCGACGAUGCGUAGCCGACCUGAGAGGGUGAUCGGCCACACUGGGACUGAGACACGGCCCAGACUCCUACGGGAGGCAGCAGUAGGGAAUCUUCCGCAAUGGACGAAAGUCUGACGGAGCAACGCCGCGUGAGUGAUGAAGGUUUUCGGAUCGUAAAACUCUGUUGUUAGGGAAGAACAAGUACCGUUCGAAUAGGGCGGNACCUUGACGGUACCUAACCAGAAAGCCACGGCUAACUACGUGCCAGCAGCCGCGGUAAUACGUAGGUGGCAAGCGUUGUCCGGAAUUAUUGGGCGUAAAGCGCGCGCAGGCGGUUUCUUAAGUCUGAUGUGAAAGCCCCCGGCUCAACCGGGGAGGGUCAUUGGAAACUGGGGAACUUGAGUGCAGAAGAGGAGAGUGGAAUUCCACGUGUAGCGGUGAAAUGCGUANAGAUGUGGAGGAACACCAGUGGCGAAGGCGACUCUCUGGUCUGUAACUGACGCUGAGGCGCGAAAGCGUGGGGAGCGAACAGGAUUAGAUACCCUGGUAGUCCACGCCGUAAACGAUGAGUGCUAAGUGUUAGAGGGUUU